rnacentral:rRNA from 1 species
AGAGUUUGAUCAUGGCUCAGAAUGAACGCUGGCGGCGUGCUUAACACAUGCAAGUCGAACGAUGAAGCCUAGCUUGCUAGGUGGAUUAGUGGCGCACGGGUGAGUAAUAUAUAGAUAACGUGCCUCUUAGUCUGGGAUAGCCAUUGGAAACGAUGAUUAAUACUAGAUACUCCUUCUCUUUAUAAUAAGAGUUGGGAAAGUUUUUCGCUAAGAGAUCGGUCUAUAUCCCAUCAGCUUGUUGGUAGUGUAAGAGACUACCAAGGCAAUGACGGGUAGCGGGUUUGAGAGGAUGAUCCGCCACACUGGUACUGAGACACGGACCAGACUCCUACGGGAGGCAGCAGUGAGGAAUAUUGCACAAUGGAGGAAACUCUGAUGCAGCAACGCCGCGUGGAGGAUGACGCAUUUCGGUGUGUAAACUCCUUUUAUAUGUCAAGAAAAUGACGGUAGCAUAUGAAUAAGCACCGGCUAACUCCGUGCCAGCAGCCGCGGUAAUACGGAGGGUGCAAGCGUUAUUCGGAAUCACUGGGCGUAAAGGACACGUAGGCGGGAAGCCAAGUCUGAUGUGAAAUCCUAUGGCUUAACCAUAGAACUGCAUUGGAAACUGGUUACCUAGAGUAUGGGAGGGGGAGAUGGAAUUAGUGGUGUAGGGGUAAAAUCCGUAGAUAUCACUAGGAAUACCUAAAGCGAAGGCGAUCUCCUGGAACAUUACUGACGCUAAGGUGUGAAAGCGUGGGGAGCAAACGGGAUUAGAUACCCCGGUAGUCCACGCCCUAAACGAUGUUCACUAGUCGUCGGGAUGCUAGUCAUCUCGGUGAUG